rnacentral:tRNA from 1 species
GAAGGUAUAGCACAGUAGUGAGGUGCAUGCUUAACACGCAGGAGGUCCCGGGUUCAAUCCCCAGUAUCUCCA